GGGCUCUUAGCUUAAUAGGUAGAGUACUCAAUUGUCAAUUGAGGGUGUCCCAGUUCGAAUCUGGAAGGGCUCG
rnacentral:tRNA from 1 species